GCCCGGUUAGUUCAGUUGGCAGAACGCCACAAGUCAAUGCAGCUCAUACCGCCCACCUCAGAUAUUGUAUGAUUGUGGAACGCGGGUUCGAACCCCGCACUGGGCA